AUGAACGCUGGCGGCGUGCCUAAUCCAUGCCAGUCGAGCGAACAGACGAGGAGCUUGCUCCUCUGACGUUAGCGGCGGACGGGUGAGUAACACGUGGAUAACCUACCUAUAAGACUGGGAUAACUUCGGGAAACCGGAGCUAAUACCGGAUAAUAUAUUGAACCGCAUGGUUCAAUAGUGAAAGACGGUUUUGCUGUCACUUAUAGAUGGAUCCGCGCCGCAUUAGCUAGUUGGUAAGGUAACGGCUUACCAAGGCAACGAUGCGUAGCCGACCUGAGAGGGUGAUCGGCCACACUGGAACUGAGACAUGGUCCAGACUCCUACGGGAGGCAGCAGUAGGGAAUCUUCCGCAAUGGGCGAAAGCCUGACGGAGCAACGCCGCGUGAGUGAUGAAGGUCUUCGGAUCGUAAAACUCUGUUAUUAGGGAAGAACAAAUGUGUAAGUAACUAUGCACGUCUUGACGGUACCUAAUCAGAAAGCCACGGCUAACUACGUG
rnacentral:rRNA from 1 species